AUGUUGCUAAAAGAGCGUGUAGAAAAGUUACUGGUAGGGGUGAAAAUAAAAAAAAAGUAGUUCUGUAGUUUCCGGUAGUAAUAGUAAUGACCCAAUAACACAUGUUUCUGAAUCAUCGCCUAAUUUGCAAGGUGUAAAUAUUGAUUAUGAACAAUUACACCAAGAUUUCGGAAUAGAAGAUAACGAAAUUGGAAAAGAAGAUGAGAUACCACCUACACCGAGAUUGAUUAUGAACAAUUACAAGAAGAUUUUAGAAUUGAAGAUAGUGAAAUUGGAAUAGAAGAUGAGAUAUCACCUACACCUAGUAGUGGAAAUGUUGGUAGUAUUGGAGUUGGAGUUGCUAGUGCUACAAUGGGUAGUAGACCACCAGUGGCUCCAACUUCUAAUCGUAAAAGAAGAAGUCCGGUAUGGAAAUUUUUUGAAAUAAUAGAAGGUACUAAUAGAGUUAAGUG
rnacentral:lncRNA from 1 species